GACCUUUGGAAGUGCUAAGAUGCCUCACAAGUUACUUCAAGGAAGCAACUGUCCUGUUGGUUGCAGACAAGGAUGGCCAGAAAGAACUACCCAGCACUCCUUGCAUCAUUGUCAUUGGGUCUCCUGGGGAUCAACACUGAACGUGGCUCAAAAGCUGAAUCGAAGUGCAAGAAGCACUUCAAAAUCAAUCCUAAGCUUCUGAAAUUCCUGAAGGACCUCAGUGACUUUCAGAAUCCAUUCAAAAUUUAAAUGGACAAGGCAUUUGGAGCCCUCAGAUGCUGCACAAUGGACUCAUUUAACAAUUUGAAAUGAAGUGUUAGGAUGAGAAGUCCUAAGUUCUGUGGUGUUU